CCUAAAUCCCUAAAUUAUCUGUGUAGAUCGCCUGCCUGGUAAGAAGAAGAGACAGAAACUUGUUAACUCACAUCGAUGUCAGCUCCUUUGAGACAAAUGGGUCCCUUAGGUGCGAAGUUCAUUUCAAUAAGGAAUUACCGUUUAGUAGGGAAUUUCCGUCCCAAGGUUGAUGCAGCCAAGGAGGUUCCUGAAGGAGGUUUUAGGAAAUUAGUUAAAUACGUGAAGGGCUUUACGAUCGGUAAUUUUGUGGGGUUGGGUUAUGCUGCUGGAUCGCAGUACAUAGUUCAUGGCAGAGUAGUACACCUCUUGGGAUAUCUGAUCGGCAAAAAAGCGUGAGAGAUGGUUUUAUUUAUGAUAUAUUCUCCUUAACUAAAAUUUGCAAUGAAUUUAUGUCUAUGUAAUUAUGGUGUGGUUAGUUUUCUCUUUAGAAACCUAACUUUGCAACAGAUAUUUUAAGUUGUGUUUGAAUGAGGAAUCUAUCAUCUAUGUAGCUAAGAUGUGGUACUGGUUUUCUGAAUGAAUAUAUUACCUA